AGACUCGUGAUGUAACGGUUAGCAUACAAGGUUUUGAUCCUUGUUGUAAAGGUUCAAAUCCUUUCGAGUCUUCAA
rnacentral:tRNA from 1 species